rnacentral:rRNA from 1 species
UCAGUUCGGAUCGCAGGCUGCAACUCGCCUGCGUGAAGUUGGAAUUGCUAGUAAUCGCGGAUCAGCAUGCCGCGGUGAAUACGUUCCCGGGCCUUGUACACACCGCCCGUCACACCAUGGGAGCCGGUAAUACCCGAAGUCAGUAGUCCAACCUCGUGAGGACGCUGCCGAAGGUAGGAUUGGCGACUGGGGUGAAGUCGUAACAAGGUACC